rnacentral:rRNA from 1 species
UACAGAGGUGGCAAGCGUUGUUCGGAAUUACUGGGCGUAAAGGGCUCGUAGGUGGCCAACUAAGUCAGACGUGAAAUCCCUCGGCUUAACCGGGGAACUGCGUCUGAUACUGGAUGGCUUGAGUUUGGGAGAGGGACGCGGAAUUCCAGGUGUAGCGGUGAAAUGCGUAGAUAUCUGGAGGAACACCGGUGGCGAAGGCGGCGUCCUGGACCAACACUGACACUGAGGAGCGAAAGCCAGGGGAGCAAACGGG